GUUGUCUAGUAAAAGAUUUAACGAUGAGAGAAUCUAACAGAUGUCUACCUCUCCAACAAUGACUGUGUCCCCUUCCUUUACGCCUAGUUUCAUGAGAGUCUUAUUCACACCACAAGCCUCCAAAACGUGCUGGAACCUUUUCUCUGAAUCAACAUACCUGU